GACGAACGCUGGCGGCGUGCCUAAUACAUGCAAGUCGAACGGUUUAGUUCCAAGAGGCAAGCCUCUUGGAACUAAGCAGUGGCGGACGGGUGAGUAACACGUAGGCAACCUACCUGUCAAACCGGGAUAACCUCGGGAAACCGAAGCUAAACCCGGAUAAGCUCCUUUUUCGCAUGAAGGGGGAGUGAAAAGGUGCGACCUGAUGACAGAUGGGCCUGCGGCGCAUUAGCUAGUAGGUAGGGUAACGGCCUACCUAGGCGAUGAUGCGUAGCCGACCUGAGAGGGAGUACGGCCACACUGGGACUGAGAUACGGCCCAGAAUCCUACGGGAGGCAGCAGUAGGGAAUCUUCGGCAAUGGGCGAAAGCCUGACCGAGCAACGCCGCGUGAGUGAGGAAGGCCUUCGGGAUGUAAAACUCUGUUGUUUGGGAAGAAGGGAAAGGGUAGGACCCUUAGGUGACGGUACCAAACGAGAAAGCCCCGGCUAACUACGUG
rnacentral:rRNA from 1 species